GAGAAAGGAGGCUGCUGGGCACUGAAAAGCAGCGGCUGGCAGGCAGGCGCUUUCAGCAACUGAGAAUUCUAACAAUGACACUUCCUAGACCUGGCUACAUUGAACAUUCUAGAAAGUGGCAUUUUUGAUACCCCUCAAUAUAAUUCUUCAGAGCAGAAUUACAGAAUUCAACCAUAGUUCCAUAGACAGUUGACUCCAGAACAACACGGGGUGAAGGGUGCUAACCCCCAACACAGUUGAAAAUCUGCAUAUAACUUCUGACUCCCCCAACUACAGUUGUCCCUUGGUACCUGCGGGGAUUGGUUACAGGACCCCCUUUCUCCCCCAAGAAUCCGCAUGUAAGUGGACCCGCGCAGUUCAAGCCCAGGUUGUUCAAAGGUCAACUGUACUUUAAAGAAGUCCCCAGAAUAUGUCAAAGCUCAUGGAAAACACAGCAUUUCUGUAACCUGCUUAAGCUUUUGUGGUCCCAGCGCCUGGGUGCAGGAGGCUGGGACGCCGGGCAGGCCCUGGGCAGCAAGCGCCCUCCUGUCCUCGGACAAUGCCAUUCCUCGUGGCAGGAUGCCACUCACCUUGGAAUCUGGCAAAUCCCUCUCAAGGGAGGAGGAGAUAAGGCAGCACAGCAAAUAUUUCUGUAGCCAUCUCUGAUGCGAAUUACAGGAUUUUUCUUACACAAAGUUGAGAAAGAAGAAAAGAAGUGGAAAGAAGACUGGUUUGUCUGACAGGGACACCAGACAGGAGUCUAUAAUUCUAACGGUAAAACUGAUCUCUGAAGUUCUGUGACUGAAGCCAAAAUUACAAAAAACUUUAAGGCCGCUGCUACAGGGACAGGCGCUCGAGUGAGUGCAAAGCAGCAACACAGUCCUUGAGCAGGAGGCCACGAUGCACAGCAGAAAGGCCGGCUCCUGGGUUUGACACUGCAAACACGGGACUCACCUUCUCCAGGG